rnacentral:rRNA from 1 species
AUUGAACGCUGGCGGCAGGCCUAACACAUGCAAGUCGAGCGAGCGGCGGACGGGUGAGCAAUGUCGGGGAAACGGCCCGAUGGAGGGGGAUAACUAACGGAAACGGUCCCUAAUACCGCCUACCAUCACAUGUGCCCAGAUGGGAUUAGCUAGUAGGUGGGGUAAUGGCUCACCUCGGCGACGAUCCCUAGCUGGUCUGAGAGGAUGACCAGCCACACUGGAACUGAGACACGGUCCAGACUCCUACGGGAGGCAGCAGAGGGGAAUAUUGCACAAUGGGCGCAAGCCUGAUGCAGCCAUGCCGCGUGUGUGAAGAAGGCCUUCGGGUUGUAAAGCACUUUCAGCGAGGAGGCGUUACUCGCAGAAGAAGCACCGGCUAACUCCGUGCCAGCAGCCGCGGUAAUUC